UGUUACAAAUAUUAGAUCACCAUGUUUACACCGUCAUUCUUUCACCAAAACCCUAAUACACUUAUACGCAUUCAAUCUACCCCACUCUCUGUUGAUUCUCUCCUAUUCAUGCAUCGCUUCUGUCAUUCUAUCAUGUUAAGCAUGUAAUUCAGGAAGAGAAGAUGGUGGUCGCGUCUAAUUUGAUUGCUACUUAAUCGACGACCGCUGCCACAAUCGUCUUCGCCUGAUUCUAUUCAAGAUCAGGGUUUUGACCUCUUUGUAUUGGAACCCUCAAUCAGUUGAUGUUUCCUUUAUCCCCGGUUUCUUAUUCACAAGAGAUUAUGGACCUAAAGGAUUCGACUAUGAUGCUGCCAUUAUUUUACCAGGUCACGCCAAAGGUUAAAAGAGCUAAUGGGCUACACCCUUGAGCUUAAAUCGUCUCAAAUUCGUCAUGAACAAGCAAGUUGGGGUUUAUUCAUAGACGGUGAAGCAUACGGUGACUUGGUAAUAGCACACUACGCAGGUGCAAUAUCAAUUUGAAGAGUUUAUUGACAAAGAAUAAAGAGUAUGUGGUUUCUGAACUGAGGGGGUUGUUUCUGCAAGUUCUGACUUCAUGGAUUCAAGUUGAGAAAACCCUAGUAGUCAAAUCGAUCAAAUCCACGCGAAAUUCAACCUCACCGGAACCAAUUUCUUCAACCAGACUGGAACCCAAAAUACAAUACCUGUUCUUCAAGAGGAACCAACGACAAUUGGGGAUUAGGGUUCAUAAAUCUCUCCAUCCUGUGAUCAAAUUCCCAACAUCAUCACGUCAUUAGGUUUAAUGUUUCUUGUGAAUGUAUAAAUUUGUUGAAACCAUAAGAUUAUACAUUCAACACAGCCUAUUAUUUUAUGUUGCAGCAACUUCUUUGAUUGAGAAAUUGAAUUUGGAGAGAGGGUUCAUGAAGUGAUGAGGUGUAUGGUGAGAAAUUUUGUGUGUGUGUGGGGGGGGGGGGGGUGUUGAAGGAGGCUGUUGGUAUGGUUGUUUAGACGAGGAACCGAGGUUUGGAGCUGUGUACUCGAAUGUUAAACUGUUUUGUUGGUGUUGCAGUGGAGAUGGGUUCGGUUGAAGUUGCACGUAAGGUGUUUGAUGAAAUGUGUGAGAGGUGCGACUCCGGAUUCUUCUACUUUCAAGAUUUUGAUCACCUGCCAUUGCAAAGUUAAUGAAGUUUCACUAGUUGAUCAGUGGGCCUAGGCUCGCACCUGAGUGAGCCUUGACAUCUAUACAUUGUGUUUGUUUUUAUAUUAAAAAAGACAGACUCAAUGGCUGUUCAACAAAUAGGGAAUGGUCUUGAAUAAUAUGUGGUGUCAUAAGCAAAAACCUUCAGGAUGCAGAUUUUGUGAACCUAUAACUAAUCCAGAUGCUGGAAAGAUGGAUUUUGAGCAAAAGACCAGAACAUUACUCAAGCUAAAUUAUUGAAAACUAAGUGGAAAGUUUCCUAUACUAUAAGUGUUGAGAGCACCAUAGCCAAAGGUAAUGGAUCGGGGUGUCUCUUAUUAGGUUUAUUAUAGAAAAUGGUUCCUAUUUGUCCAGUUUGCAUAUGAACAAACUAAAUUCAAAGUAUUCUAACUUGUUAAAACCGCGUGUACACGCGGGCUCCAACCUAGUUUUAUAUAGAUGUAAUUAAUUAUAUAUUAUUAAAACGACCCUCACCCUACCCACCCCACCUCUUCUUCCCUUCUCCCCACAACUCUUCUCCAUAUUUUGUCUUCAUUCUUGAACAACAAUCCACCAUAAUAGCACCCACCAUCAUAAUAACUCCACCACGCUGCCACCACCUCACCCCGACAUCACCGGAAAACUCACCACCGUAACACCUCCACCCCGCUGCGCCACCACUUGCAAAUCUCCACCUGUUUCCUCUAAUUUCACGAAUUAGGGCUCGGUAACAGGAACAAUUAAUCAAUGUCGAACAACAGGUGGAACUAUAGGUCAGUGGCUUCGAACCGAGGAAAUCUCUGGCAGUGUAACCGCUGUCAGCUCCGGCUCGUGCUCCACUCCUCCGGCGGUACUUUAUCUCUACUCCGUCGAUUGUUCCGCAUUCGGAAGCUGUUUAUAAACAGAAUACUGCUAAUAAGCUUCAUAAUUUGAAGGAUAAGCUCAAGGCUCCUCUUACGAAAGAGUUAGUAUUUAGAGGUUGUAUGUGGAGGAUUUAAACCAUAUACAGUAAUACUUCUCUUUCCUCUUCUUUUUAGCCUUGGCUAGCAGGAGCGACUCUUAUAGCUCCAGCAGUUAACUAUUGGUGGCCCCGCUUGCCAUAAACUUAUUUCAACAGGCAUUUUCGAAGCAGUUUCUUCAAGAUCAAUGGAGUCUACAUGUCGCUCACCUGCUCACCUACUGGUGGAACACGCAAAAACGGUUUCCAAGUCUAACCGUUACCGCUCACAGCCCUGAUAUUCUUUCUCGCCAAAGAUAUCUAUGUAUAUUUUUUCAAUGAAAAUUUUAACUAUUAAUUCAAUAUUAUUUCUUUUUAAUAUUUUCCAAAUUUUUGGUAGUGCUUCUCCAUUAUUCUUUUUAUUUUUUUUUUCAGCGUUACUGUUUUUUUAUUUUUUUUCAUUAUUUCUAUUUGAUUUCUGAUUGUGUUUCUUCUAUCAAUUCUAUGUUUCAUUUCUUCUUCUGUCUGUGAAUAAUUUGUCAAACCUUUAGGUCGAUUUUGACUAAGUGAUUCAUGAAUUAUCUUAUUGCUGAUUAUAGAAUCCUUUUCUCUUUCAGUUUCAUUUGAUUCAUAUAUUUCUCUCGUUAUAAAUAAUGGAAUUUUCUUUCCUUUUAAAAGUUCUUUACACUGGCAGAGCAGGAGUUGAGGUACUAAAUAUACUUCGCGUUUGACAUUCUCUGUUUUUUUUUGUUUAACCUGUUGUUUGAAAAAAUGUGGAUCUAUGGUCUCUCUUUCUUGGUUUUAAAAAGCAUGCCUCAGGCGCGCUUAAGCGCGAGGCGCAACAAGGCUCACACCCUGGGGCUUUUUCGCUCAGCGCCUAGAGUAAUUACAAGAAGCCCCAAAAAGGUGCGCUUUCUUGGGAUUUUUCUGGGCUUUUUUGCCUGAGGCGCGCGCCUCUUGUACCCGAGGCGUUUCUAUGCAUCUAACUGUUGUACCUUGGAUUUUCUGGCUUGUACACGCAGCUAAAAUCAUACAAAAACCUUACUUGAGCAUUGGAUUCGGUACAUGGGAAUUUGAUCCAACAGAAAUUGAAAACCCGUUUCCAGAAAACAAAACGAAGGGUAUAUGGCAGGGUGAUGAGGAUAUUCUUGUGCCCGUGACACUGCAACUGUAUAUAGCCCAACAAUUUCCAUGGAUAAACUAUCACGAACUCACGGCUGCUGGUAGUUGGAGUUAGUAACUAGGGUUUUGUUGUUUGUGAUUUGGGGAUUUGUAUUUGUGAUUAGUUAGUUAAUUCGUUUAUUAAUAUUCAGAGUGUUGUAGAAAAGUGAUCUUUAAGAAGUUUAUAUCUUGAUUCUGUAAUUCUAUAACUAGGUUAGUAAACAUGUGUAUCUUACUGGUUGAAUAAAGGAAAUGUUAGAUGGUGAUGGAGAUUUGUGAA